AUCCAGCUGAAGAGCCUCAAAUAGGACCAAACACACGUCCUGGAU
rfam:Schistosoma margrebowiei strain Zambia genome assembly, scaffold: SMRZ_contig0001915